CGAGUCAGCCAGGCAAUCGCUGUUUUGUCGCCUUCGGGCGAUGGGAUGGAGGAAAGUCCGGGCUCCAUAGGGUGGGACGCCAGGUAACGCCUGGGGGGCGCGAGCCUACGGAAAGUGCAGCAGAGAGUAGACCGCCGAUGGCUUCUUCGGGAGCACAGGUAAGGGUGAAAGGGUGCGGUAAGAGCGCACCGCGCGACUGGUAACAGUUCGUGGCACGGUAAACCCCGUUCGGAGCAAGACCAAAUAGGCCCCCUUUAGCGAAAGCUAGCAGGUGUGACCCGCACUGGGGGCGGGUAGGUCGCUUGAGGUGUCUGGUGACAGGCAUCCCAGAUGAAUGAUUGUCCGCGACAGAACCCGGCUUAUCGGCUGACUCACCAA
rnacentral:RNase_P_RNA from 1 species